CAGUGCCUUUGUGAAGACCAAACGAGAUGAUGCAAAUAACAUGUUCAACAGAGUUCUUGGCGCAAAGCUUCUAUUGAGAUCUCCUGUCUGUAUGCCAAGACAAGACAGAGCGAGAAAACAUUGAUAAAUUGACGAAACCAUCAUGUGUCCUCUCAUCCGCUUGACUGUGUUACUCCGGGGGACCCUGCUGAGGAGGUGACUUGCUGAAGGCAGUCUUGCUGUGAGAACAGGAGGAACAGCUGUUGAAAGAAGAAGAGAGAGAUUGAAACUGGAAGUUUUGGUGAUAAAAUUGGAUUGAGAGAGAGGCCAC